ensembl:ncRNA lncRNA:CR44507 long non-coding RNA:CR44507
AUUCUUUUGCCCAUUGUUGUUGCCCGUGAGCAUGUGUGCGUUUCUGUGUUUAGAAUGUAAAAUUAUAAUAAUUAAAAAGAGUACGUGCGAGUGCUGUAAUCGGGCGGUUGAGAUGAUGGAUGCGGGGAUGUUGGCUGAAGCGAUAGUUGCACAUUACGAUUCCCCUCACUCACCAUUCAACACGAUCUCGAAACUCACCACGACUUUUCUCGAAAUAAUCCGUGCACUAUCUUUUUCGUGCUUCAUUGAAGCCACAAAACUAUUGAAUACGCACAUACAUAUUUCAAAACUAACAAGGUUUUGAAUACUCACCACUUUUAAAGAUAUAUACCUCAUAUGUGCACUUCUCACGCGCUCAUCCCCAGGAUUUCACACAUGUGGGCGGACCAAAUGAGUUUUGCCCAACUCGGACAUCAGGUCCUGAAUGGAAAUCAGCAGGCGGAGGAUGAGGAGGAGUUGGGGCAGGCUGCGGGGAUUGGAUGUAGACAUGGUUAUGGAUAUGGGAAGGCGGUAGACUCUAUGAUGAUGAGGAGCUGCAGCUGUUCCUGUCGCUCCAGGACAAUGCAGAUGCACAGAUGCGUCUGCACUGGGAAAAAUAAGGUCAAAAGAAUUACUGAAGCUUUCUAAACCGAAUGGCUAGCUAUCCGAUUAAUAACAAUAUUAUAAAUUUUAAGUCUUAACUUAAGUUAAGUGCUCAAGGUGAAAUGAAAAG